rnacentral:rRNA from 1 species
CCCUUAGAUGUUCUGGGCCGCACGCGCGCUACACUGAUGCAUUCAACGAGUUUCUUCCUGGUCCGAGAGGAAUGGGUAACCUUUUGAAAGUGCAUCGUGAUAGGGAUAGACUAUUGCAAUUAUUGGUCUUCAACGAGGAAUUCCUAGUAGACGUAGUUCAUCAGACUGCAUCGAUUACGUCCCUGCCCUUUGUACACACCGCCCGUCGCUCCUACCGAUUGAAUGCUCAGGUGAGCCAUUCGGACUUUCAUCAUGCUGGUUUCCAGUUUUGAUGAAGGAAAGUCUUGCGAACCUUAUCAUUUAGAGGAAGGAUAAGUCGUAACA